rnacentral:sRNA from 1 species
GCAUGCCUGUAAUCCCAGCUACCCAGGACACCGAGGCUGGAGGAUGCCUUGAGCCCAGAAGUUCUGGGCUGCAGUGCAUUAUGUCGACUGGAUGUCCGCACUAAGUUCGGCCUCAAUAUGGUGCCCUCCUGGGAGUGCGAGACCACAGGUUGCCCAAGGAGGGGUGAAUGCCUAAGGAGAGGUGAACCAGCCCAGGUCUGAAAGGGAGCAGGUCAAAACUCUGGUGCUGAUUAGCAAUG